rnacentral:rRNA from 1 species
UUGAACGCUGGCGGCAGGCCUAACCCAUGCAAGUCGCGCGGAUGAAGGGAGCUUGCUCCUGGAUUCAGCGGCGGACGGGUGAGUAAUGCCUAGGAAUCUGCCUGGUAGUGGGGGAUAACGUCCGGAAACGGGCGCUAAUACCGCAUACGUCCUGAGGGAGAAAGUGGGGGAUCUUCGGACCUCACGCUAUCAGAUGAGCCUAGGUCGGAUUAGCUAGUUGGUGGGGUAAAGGCCUACCAAGGCGACGAUCCGUAACUGGUCUGAGAGGAUGAUCAGUCACACUGGAACUGAGACACGGUCCAGACUCCUACGGGAGGCAGCAGUGGGGAAUAUUGGACAAUGGGCGAAAGCCUGAUCCAGCUAUGCCGCGUGUGUGAAGAAGGUCUUCGGAUUGUAAAGCACUUUAAGUUGGGAGGAAGGGCAGUAAGUUAAUACCUUGCUGUUUUGACGUUACCAACAGAAUAAGCACCGGCUAACUUCGUG